UACGAACGCUGGCGGCGUGCUUAAUACAUGCAAGUCGAGCGAGGCCCAUCCAGUGGCAACACUGGGGAAGGCCGAGCGGCGAACGGGUGAGUAACACGUGAGUAACCUGCCCCGCAGUCUGGAAUAACCCCGGGAAACUGGGGCUAAUACCGGAUACGACUCCGGCGGGCAUCCGCUGGAGUGGAAAGGUCUGUGCAUGAUACUUCGGUAUUGUGCUCAGCUCCGCUAUGGGAUGGAUUCGCGGCCUAUCAGCUUGU
rnacentral:rRNA from 1 species